rnacentral:rRNA from 1 species
AUUGAACGCUGGCGGCAUGAUUUACACAUGCAAGUCGAACGGUAACAGGCCGCAAGGUGCUGACGGUUGGCGACCGGGGGAGUAAUGCACCGUAACGUGCCCAGUCGUGGGGGAUAACUACUCGAUAGAGUAGCUAAUACCGCAUACGAUCUAUGGAUGAAAGCGGGGGACCGUACGGCCUCGCGCGAUUGUAGCGGCCGAUGUCCGAUUAGGUAGUUGGUGGGGUAAAGGCUCACCAAGGCAACGAUCUGUAGCUGGUCUGAGAGGACGACCAGCCACACUGGGACUGAGACACGGCCCAGACUCCUACGGGAGGCAGCAGUGGGGAAUUUUGGACAAUGGGCGCAAGCCUGAUCCAGCAAUGCCGCGUGCAGGAAGAAGGCCUUCGGGUUGUAAACUGCUUUUGUACGGAACGAAACGGCUCUGGUUAAUACCCGGGGCUAAUGACGGUACCGUAAGAAUAAGCACCGGCUAACUACGUG